GUCAGCUCCAAUGCUGGGUUUUGCCAUGUGUGUGCCCCGCCCUCCGUAGCGCGUUAUUCACUGUGCCACUAAAAACACCCAAUAACUUAAUGAUUCUUCUCUAGAUAGACAGUUAA